AUGCCUAGCCGGGUGGGCGCUGACGACACCGGGGGCGGCCCCGGAGUGGGGGAGAUCGUGGAGGCCAGCAGCGGCGCGCGCGAGAGGGACGUGCCUCCGGGGAAUCGUUCCGCGACGCGGAAGACCGCGCGGUUCGUGGAGCCCAUGCCGGCGCCGCGCGGGGGCGGCCCGAGCCGCCUCGACAGGUCCAUGUCGUCCGUCCCCGCGCUCGCGCUCGAGGGUCUCAAGUUCAUCAGCGAGACUGACGCUUCCAAAGGAUGGACCAGCGCCGCCGGGUUCUUCGACAGUAACGCCCAGAAUGACCUCCUCCCCCGGUCCAUGUUCGGCGAGUGCAUCGGUAUGAAAGAGGUCGCGUUCGCCGGCGAGCUGUUUGACACGCUGGCAAGGCGGCGGGGCAUCUCCGGGGACAGCAUCGACAAGGCGGAGCUGCGUGAGUUCUGGGAUCAAAUUUCAGACCCCAGCUUCAAGAGCCGCCUGCAGCUCUUCUUCGACAUGAUGGACAAGAACGCUGACGGGAAGAUCAGCGAGGCGGAGGUCAAACAGAUCAUCACGUUGAGCGCGUCGGCGAACCAUCUAACAAUAACCGCACAACAGUCCGAGGAGUAUGACAAGCUCAUCAUGGAGGAGUUGGACCCCCACGGCCAUGGCUACAUCGAGCUGCACAGCUUGGAGAUGCUAUUACUGAAGCCGUUAAGCGAGACGAUGACCAAGGGCGGUAAAGUGGCGGAACCCAAUUGGCACAAGCAGUUGUACCGCCGCGCCCGAUACUUCUUGAAGGACAAUUGGCGCCGCUGCUGGGUGAUGCUCCUGUGGCUAUCCAUCUGCACGGGGCUAUUCACUUGGAAGUUCAUGCAGUACCGCCACCGCGUUGUGUUCAAGGUGAUGGGCUACUGCGUGUGUGUGGCCAAGGGUGGCGCCGAGACACUCAAGUUCAACAUGGCGCUCACUCUCCUUCCCAUGUGCCGCAACGCCGUCACGUGGCUUCGGAGCCGCACCACGCUCGGACGGUUUGUGCCAUUUAACGACAACCUCAACUUCCACAAGGUGAUCGCUGUGGGGAUUUCUGUCGGCGCCGGGCUUCAUAUCAUCUCUCACCUGACGUGCGACUUCCCGAGGCUGGUGCACGCCACCGAUGAUGAGUAUGAGCCCAUGAAGCCAUUCUUCGGCGACGUGAAGCCACCCAACUAUUGGUGGUUCUUGAAGGGCACAGAAGGGUGGACCGGGCUAGUGAUGUUGGUGCUUAUGGCCAUCACCUUUACACUCGCCACGGGGCGGUUCCGCAAAAGAGAGCUCCGACGCCCCAAGCCAAAGAAGUCUAAGAGCCUCGUUGAGUCCAAGAACCCAAAUAGCCUUCCCGGGCUGCUCGGCCGCCUCACCCGGUCCGUGAGUGCCUCGCACAACCGCCUCACUAUGAUCAUCAACGCCUUGUUCAAUCGCUUCACUGGGUACAAUGCCUUCUUGUACACACACCAUCUGUUCGUCAUCGUCUACGCGCUGCUCAUCGUCCACGGGCACUUCCUCUACCUCACCAAGAAGUGGCAAAAGAAGACGACGUGGAUGUACCUGACAGUGCCAAUUGUCGUGUACGCGUGCGAACGACUGACACGAACACUGCGAUCGAGGGUGCGGUUGGUGGAGAAGAUCAAGGUGGCCGUGCACCCGCACCCCGCAAGCCUGCUGUCCCUGCACAUGUCCAAGCCUGAGGGGUUCAGGUUCAAGGGCGGACAAUACAUCUUCAUCAAAUGCCCAGGCGUCUCAAAAUUUGAGUGGCACCCGUUCUCCAUCACAUCGGCGCCAGAGGAUGACUGUGUCAACGUCCACAUCAAGGCGCUUGGUGACUGGACCGAAGACCUCAGGGACGCCUUCCUUAAGGUUUGCCCGAACACGGAGGGGAAGAACGAGAUUCGCCAGGUAGAGUAUGACCGCGACGACGCCAAGUCCGACCCAAGUUCGCCCCACCUCAAAAAUAAUCCGUCCUCCGCCACUGACAAGCAGUACGAUGUUGUGCUACUGGUGGGACUCGGCAUCGGCGCCACGCCCAUGAUCUCGAUCAUCAAGGACAUCAUCAACAACACGAAGCGGCUCGGGGACAUCGAGUCUGUCAACCCCGUCCCCGGCGACGCAAGCCCGUCGGCGUCGUUCAAGACUCGCCGUGCCUACUUCUACUGGACCACCAGGGAGCAAGGCUCCUUCGAGUGGUUCCGUGGGAUCAUGGACGAGGUGGCCGAGACGGACGAGGAUGGCAUCAUCAAGCUCCACACCCACUGCACCAGCGUCCACAAGGAGGGCGACGCCCGGUCGGCGCCCCUCACCAUUCUCCAGUCGCUGUACUAUGCCAAGCACGGCAUUGACAUCAUCUCCGGCAGUCGAGUCAAGACCACCUUCGGGCGAGCAAACUGGCGUGAGGCCUACGAGCGCAUCGCUCAGGAGAAUCAAGGAAAACGCGUCGGAGUGUUCUACUGCGGCAUGCCGACACUGACAAAUGAAUUGCGCUAUCUUGCAAAGGAUCUCUCGAGAAAAACAAGGACACAAUUCGAGUUCCACAAGGAGAACUUCUAG
rnacentral:rRNA from 1 species